UACAGAGGGUGCGAGCGUUAAUCGGAGUUACUGGGCGUAAAGGGUGCGUAGGCGGUACUAUGUGUGUGAUGUGAAAGCCCCGGGCUUAACCUGGGAAGUGCAUCGCAAACUGUAGAACUAGAGUAGAUGAGAGGGUGAUGGAAUUUCCGGUGUAGCGGUGAAAUGCGUAGAGAUCGGAAGGAACGUCAAUGGCGAAGGCAGUCACCUGGCAUCAUACUGACGCUGAGGCACGAAAGCGUGGGGAGCGAACAGG
rnacentral:rRNA from 1 species